UCAUGUGAACUCUGUUUCGGACUUCGGUGUCUUGGCUCUCCGUGCUCUUUCACCUCAUGCAUUUUGGCGGAUAAACAGCAUCCCAUUUCAUCGAGUUAUGUCCAAGGCCGAUCGAGUUACGUAUCUCUUCUUCCCCUUUCUUAAAUCCUCUGUGUCCUCGUGUACGCCCAUGUGAAUGUGGGUGUAUUCACGGGGACCCCUUUUUGCAGAUCCUACCUGGUGUAUUCAACUUUGCUACGCGGAUGGAGCAAUUCUGGAUGCCUGGCUGUAUUUCCCAGGUAUAAAGAUAGACGAGACGAGUUGAAAAGCUGGGGCGAUAUGUUGCCGAGUGCGAGCGACCAUUAUCUGGAGAGAAUAAAUGAACAACUGAAAACACGGACGCCAUAGAGAGACGAACAACUAAACACAACGCACGACCGACUCUUUUCUUUUCUUCUUUGAUUUUCUAUUUAUCUAAUAACUUUUUUGUGCUGUUGUUGUUGUUGCUGUACGGGAGAAGAAGAAGAAGAAGAAUAAAAAAAAAAGAAUAGACCGCCUUGGUUGCGCUUGUCGAUCCAUCACCACCUCCGGAGCGGCGCGGCCAUCACCACACAAGCUAAGCAAUUAACAUUCAAUUAAUUAAGGGUUUCACUGCCUCACGAUUUCAUUCUUUUUCUUUCAAAAGCCGGAUUUUUAUUUGUGUGUGUGUCUUGUACUUCUACCCCCCACUCAUUAUUUCCCCCUUUUUUGGUUUUUUUUUGCUUUCGAUAUUAUAAAACCCUUAUAGUCAGCGUUUAGCCACCCACCGAUGGCUUCCUUCUCUGCUGGUGGUUUCCCAGCAGCUUCAUAUCAUCUAUUACCGUUCCUCUGCUCACGAACCAAUCCCGCAGUUGCAAUUGCGUCGCUAUGAUAUAAUUUACCUGCAUUUCAAAACGGCCCUCUCUGUGGACUGUCUGGUACUAUACUAAGUCCUCUGACUUGUUUCGUAAUCUAAUUACAAGUCUGAUGAUGGCCAGACUAUCGUGAAAUCAAUGAGGGUCGGGCCAAGACAGCACACACGCAUUCCUCGUCUGUUCUUAUGAAGAAGAGGUGGGGGGAGAGAGAGAGAGCUAUAGAGCUCGGGUGAUGGCGCGGUUUUUGAAAUUAGAGUGGAGCAUCCGCCGGGCAGACGACACACAAGCAUUCCUUUUGCUCAUCUUCGUUCCUCAUUAUUAAAAAGAAAAAAAUGAAAAAAAAAACUAUCUUCUUUCUUUUUUCGAACGAAAAACUUCUUGCGGUGCGCCGUGUAAAUUGCGUGGCUUGUGUGACAUCGUACACCUUCGACCUCAAAUGCGGCGCUGUGUCAUCCAAUCCGUCACCUUGACGGAGAAACGACUUGAAGUGAUUUUUUUCCGAGAAGAAGAAGAAGAAAAAGAAGAAGAAGAAGGAGAGCUCUUAAAUCAGGACAGAGUAUAAGGACAGAGCACACAGCCCAUGGGGUCCAUUUAUGCGGGGGAAAUUUGAACAAGAAGAACAAGGUCUUUCUCUCUCUCUCUUUCUCUCUUUCUCUCUGUGUGGUAUAUAAUUAGGGCUGGUACACAGGAUAAAUGUACAGCCCGGCGCUUGUUCGCUUAUUCACCAAGAAAUCUGCAUUGACCUUUUGCUACGUUUGCUUGCUGCAGACACACACACAACAUCUGCGCGGGGGCCGUUUUCUUCUUCCUCGACUCUCGUCCGCCUCCCUCUUUUGUUUCCACAUUUUGACAGUGUUUUGAUAAACACUUAAUUACAGUGUAUACAUAGUAUAGUUACUAGUACAUAUAUAGUCUCUCCAGAGUAUACCCGUACUACAAAUACGUGUAUGUAUACCUGAUGAAUUGUUCUUAUUCCUCUCCUGAACCGCAAUUAGCAUUGAAGGUAUAUAAUUCAUUUCUCCUUUUCUUUCCAGUUAUUUCCACUUUCGUCUGAUUCUCUCCUCCGCGCGCCCGUUCAAGUGUUUCGAUAUAUUUCAGAAAGGGCUUCACACAUACGAGCGCGCUUUUAUCAUAUAAUUCCAAUGGAGAACACACAUAGGAGGGAAAUUCCGACCCGCAACCCCGGCAGCGUCGAUUGCCCGAUAUUCUGAAGAAGACGAGAAAAAUCUACUGGGAUCCAUCCCAGAGAGAUGCGACCAUCUGGCGCAACACGAAGUUUGUUUUUUUCUUCUUCUUCUUCGAAAUGCUGUAAAGAGCGCGCCGAUUUUAAACUGGGUCGGGACCAUUCGCCGCCCUUUUUUCUUCCCUCGGCGCACCGAAACAGAGAAACAACUCGAAGAAGGUGGAGGGAAAUAAAGAAAAGCCAAAAGAAAAUAAUUUCAAAAAGAAAAAAAAGAAAAAAAAUCCCGAAUUAAAGGGUCAUUCCGCUUGAGUUACGACUCUCUCUCUCUGGUGUAUUUCCCUUUUAUUGAUUUAUCGAAAUAAAAAAUCAAGGGAAAAAUCUAUACGAUUCGUUGCAAUAAAACUACUUCUCCUAAUACCUAUAUACACUCCUACUGCUGAUGGGCUGCUGCUGCUGCCGACCCUUUUUGGGUGAAAUAGAUUAACCGGGGCGGAUAGGCGGAGCUAUUCACUUUAUACACACGGAGAUGGAUCUACGUAUUUCUCUGUGUGUGUGUGUGUGCGUAUACUAAACUAAAGAAGAAGAAGAAGACGAUUACGACAGUGAAGAAGGUGAAAUGGUUUUCUUUUCUUCUUCUUGGCAUAGUCAGCCAUGUUCUA
rnacentral:lncRNA from 1 species